CUACGGGACGCACCAGUCGAGAAUCUUCCGCAAUGGACGAAAGUCUGACGGAGAGACGCCGCGUGCGGGAUGAAGGCCUUCGGGUUGUAAACCGCUGUCAGUGGGGAGGAAAUGCAUCAGGGUUCUCCCUGGUGUUUGACCGAUCCGCAGAGGAAGCGCAGGCUAAGUUCGUGCCAGCAGCCGCGGUAACACGAACUGCGCGAACGUCAUUCGGAAUCACUGGGCUUAAAGAGUUCGUAGGCGGCCUUUCAAGUCGGGUGUGAAAUCCCUCGGCUCAACCGAGGAAUUGCGCCUGAUACUGUUGGGCUUGAGGGGGAUAGGGGUGAGCGGAACUGAUGGUGGAGCGGUGAAAUGCGUUGAUAUCAUCAGGAACACCGGUGGCGAAGGCGGCUCACUGGAUCUCUUCUGACGCUGAGGAACGAAAGCUAGGGGAGCGAACGGGAUUAGAUACCCGCGUAGUC
rnacentral:rRNA from 1 species